rnacentral:lncRNA from 1 species
GAAGACAUUAACACAUCCCCUGCCUGACACUUGCCCUUCUAGGAAAUAUUUGCAAGACUAAUGGCCUUUUUACUUUGUUUCCUCACCUCCCCCAAUCUCUGAUCUAUAAAAGAACCUGGCAUCCAGACCUCAACAAGAUGGUUGUUUUGAGACAUUCAUUUGCCAUCUUCUGCGUCAGCGGGCUCUCCGAAUAAAGUCGUAUUCCCUGCCUCACCCGGUAACUUUGGCAAGAGAACCCAAUGGCGUUUGAAAAGGUACAGAUUCUUUCCCUUUAGGAACUAACUAAGGAGAAGGGAUUGAACCUGGGCCUCCUGCACUGGGAGCAUGGAGUCUUAGCCUCUGGACCACCAUGGAAGUCCCCUAAGCAGAAUUUGUUGGAUUGAAGGCUGUUAAGGUGUGAAUGACGACUGAGGAUGCAGAUGAAGAAGUCAGCAGAGGUAGAACUCUCUGACGGCAAGGUGAAGGAUGGUUUGCGGAGAGACCAAACUCAAGAUACUGUGACCAGCUCUGAAGCUAUUGCCAGGAUCCAGGCUGCAACUGAUGGAGGAAUGAACGAAUGCAGAGCGGGAGAGGAUGGAGGCAGAUUUAGGAAACAUUUGGGAGGCUGCUGUUUGUUGAAUGAGGACGUUAACAAGGGUGGGUAGUGUGUCAUUGGGGAAGUUUUUUUUUUUUUUAAAGAAAACAGUAUGAAUAGGUUUGACAGUGGCUUAUGUGGACGUUUGAGGGAUAUUUUCAGUAGUACUGAAUGUGAGGCUAAGUGAGAUGCUUUAAUCAAUAUCAUACAAUCAUAUAGCACAAAACUGGACAUUUUGUGAGAUUAUGUGAAAAUAAAUAUCAAAUGUACUGUAUAUCUGAAUGAUUC